rnacentral:rRNA from 2 species
AGACCCGAAACCCGGUGAUCUAGCCAUGGGCAGGUUGAAGGUUGGGUAACACUAACUGGAGGACCGAACCGACUAAUGUUGAAAAAUUAGCGGAUGACCUGUGGCUGGGGGUGAAAGGCCAAUCAAACCGGGAGAUAGCUGGUUCUCCCCGAAAGCUAUUUAGGUAGCGCCUCGUGAAUUCAUCUCCGGGGGUAGAGCACUGUUUCGGCUAGGGGGCCAUCCCGGCUUACCAACCCGAUGCAAACUGCGAAUACCGGAGAAUGUUAUCACGGGAGACACACGGCGGGUGCUAACGUCCGUCGUGAAGAGGGAAACAACCCAGACCGCCAGCUAAGGUCCCAAAGUCAUGGUUAAGUGGGAAACGAUGUGGGAAGGCCCAGACAGCCAGGAUGUUGGCUUAGAAGCAGCCAUCAUUUAAAGAAAGCGUAAUAGCUCACUGGUCGAGUCGGCCUGCGCGGAAGAUGUAACGGGGCUAAACCAUGCACCGAAGCUGCGGCAGCGAACGUAUCACUUAAAGCGAUUCAGCGGGUUACGAUUGACGGAGCGAAGCGACGUCAAAGCGUAUACAAAGUCGAGUCGGUUUAAGGAUACGUUCGUUGGGUAGGGGAGCGUUCUGUAAGCCUGCGAAGGUGGCCUGUGAGGGUUGCUGGAGGUAUCAGAAGUGCGAAUGCUGACAUAAGUAACGAUAAAGCGGGUGAAAAGCCCGCUCGCCGGAAGACCAAGGGUUCCUGUCCAACGUUAAUCGGGGCAGGGUGAGUCGACCCCUAAGGCGAGGCCGAAAGGCGUAGUCGAUGGGAAACGGGUUAAUAUUCCCGUACUUGGUGUUACUGCGAAGGGGGGACGGAGAAGGCUAUGUUGGCCGGGCGACGGUUGUCCCGGUUUAAGCGUGUAGGCUGGUUUUCCAGGCAAAUCCGGAAAAUCAAGGCUGAGGCGUGACGACGAGGCACUACGGUGCUGAAGCAACAAAUGCCCUGCUUCCAGGAAAAGCCUCUAAGCAUCAGGUAACAC